rnacentral:rRNA from 1 species
AGUGAACGCUGGCGGUAGGCCUAACACAUGCAAGUCGAACGGCAGCACAGUAAGAGCUUGCUCUUACGGGUGGCGAGUGGCGGACGGGUGAGGAAUACAUCGGAAUCUACUUUUUCGUGGGGGAUAACGUAGGGAAACUUACGCUAAUACCGCAUACGACCUACGGGUGAAAGCAGGGGAUCUUCGGACCUUGCGCGAUUGAAUGAGCCGAUGUCGGAUUAGCUAGUUGGCGGGGUAAAGGCCCACCAAGGCGACGAUCCGUAGCUGGGCUGAGAGGAUGAUCAGCCACACUGGAACUGAGACACGGUCCAGACUCCUACGGGAGGCAGCAGUGGGGAAUAUUGGACAAUGGGCGCAAGCCUGAUCCAGCCAUACCGCGUGGGUGAAGAAGGCCUUCGGGUUGUAAAGCCCUUUUGUUGGGAAAGAAAAGCAGCAGGUUAAUACCCCGCUGUUCGGACGGUACCCAAAGAAUAAGCACCGGCUAACUUCGU